rnacentral:rRNA from 1 species
AAUGAACGUUGGCGGCGUGGAUUAGGCAUGCAAGUCGUACGCCCCGCAAGGGGCGUGGCGCAAGGGUGAGUAAGGCGACGGCAACCAACCCCGCGGCCGGGCAUAGCCACUCGAAAGGGUGGGUAAUUCCCGGCGCCCCAGGAGACCGGCAUCGGUCCCCUGGGAAAGGUGAGACUCCGCCGUGGGACGGACCGUCGUGGUAUCAGCUUGUUGGCGGGGUGAUGGCCCACCAAGGCUAUGACGCCUACCGGGCGUGCGAGCGUGGCCCGGCACACUGGGACUGAGACACUGCCCAGACUCCUACGGGAGGCUGCAGUCGAGAAUCUUCGGCAAUGGGCGCAAGCCUGACCGAGCGACGCCGCGUGGAGGACGAAGGCCUUCGGGUUGUAAACUCCUGUCGAGGGGGAACAAGGGGGCGUGAAGAACGCCCCUUGAGUGAUCCCUGGAGGAAGCACGGGCUAAGUUCGUGCCAGCAGCCGCGGUAAGACGAACCGUGCGAACGUUAUUCGGAAUCACUGGGCUUAAAGCGCGUGUAGGCGGCCCGGCACGUCCGUCGCUGAAAUCCCCCGGCUCAACCGGGGAACGGGCGCCGAUACGACCGCCCUCGAGGGACGUAGGGGGACCUGGAACUUCCGGUGGAGCGGUGAAAUGCGUUGAGAUCGGAAGGAACGCCCGUGGCGAAAGCGAGGUCCUGGACGUUUUCUGACGCUGAGACGCGAAACCCAGGGAGCGAACGGGAUUAGAUACCCCGGUAGUCCUGGCCGUAACGAUGGCACUGNGUAGGGGCUCGCCGAUGGGCUCCCUGNCGCAGGUAACCGUGAAGUGCCCCGCCUGGGGAGUAUGGUCGCAAGGCUGAA